rnacentral:rRNA from 1 species
UAUGUGAUCGUCUCUCGCAUAUCAAUAAGCGGAGGAAAAGAAACUAACAAGGAUUCCCCUAGUAACGGCGAGUGAAGCGGGAAGAGCUCAAAUUUGAAAUCUUAAAGGUUCUACCUUGACGAAUUGUAGUUUAAAGAAGUGUUUUCUGUUGAAGUUUUGGUAAAAGUUCUUUGGAAUAGGACAUCAUAGAGGGUGAGAAUCCCGUAUUUGACCAUUACUUUCAGCUGUGUGAUACACUUUCAAAGAGUCGGAUUGUUUGGGAAUGCAGUCCAAAAUGGGUGGUAAAUUUCAUCUAAAGCUAAAUAUUGGCGAGAGACCGAUAGCGAACAAGUACCGUGAGGGAAAGAUGAAAAGAACUUUGAAAAGAGAGUUAAACAGGUACGUGAAAUUGUCAAAAGGGAAGCGUUUGACACCAGUGUUGUUUUUCUGAAAUCAAUUAAAGAACUGUUUAUGCUAAGCUGUUUAGACUUUAUCAGCUAAUCUGUUUAGUUUUGAGCUUUUCUUUAAUGCACUUUUCAGUUAACAAGUCAACAUCAAUUUCUUUUGCUGUAAAAAAGCUUGAGGAAGGUGGCUUGAGAUUCGUCUUAAGUGUUUAUAGCCUCUUGCCUAUGCAGUCGGAGAGAUUGAGGUCUGCAGCGUAGAUCCUUCGGGGCUAAAUGCAUUUGUGCUAAGUUAUAGCAUUUUAUAGACAACUUGUUGACUAUGAUUUGUCUUGUAGCUUACUCGCUUAUGUUAUUUUACCUACGCUUAGGAUGUUGACUGAUAUGUAGUCGUA